rnacentral:lncRNA from 1 species
UUUACCCCUCAAUCCCAAACCUUUCCUCAAGGGAUUAACAGAAAAGCCAGUGACAGUGAAACUUAAGUGGCGAAUGGAUUACAAAGGCUAACUGGUAUCUGUAGAUGAACCAGAUCUACAGAUGUAUCUAUAAGAACAUGUAGCUUGCAAAUACAGAAGAAUACAUAGUUGGGGUAUUGUCUGGACAUCUGGAUGAAGUUUUACUAAAGUAUAAUAAUGUCCUUUGUCUCAGAGGUGUGGAAGAGGAAGAGGAUGGGGAAAUGAGAGAAUA